CACUGGACGGGCAGGCCGCC
rnacentral:miRNA from 1 species